rnacentral:rRNA from 1 species
UACGUAGGGCGCGAGCGUUGUCCGGAAUUACUGGGCGUAAAGAGCUCGUAGGUGGUUUGUCGCGUUGCCUGUGAAAUUCCCUGGCUUAACUGGGGACGUGCGGGCGAUACGGGCAGACUGGAGUACUGCAGGGGAGACUGGAAUUCCUGGUGUAGCGGUGGAAUGCGCAGAUAUCAGGAGGAACACCGGUGGCGAAGGCGGCCCUCUGGGCGGUGACUGACGCUGAGACGCGAAAGCGUGGGGAGCAAACAGG